rnacentral:misc_RNA from 1 species
UAGAGUUUUCUAACCUCCCAACCCAUGUGAACUUACCUUUUGUUGCCUCGGCAGAAGUUAUAGGUCUUCUUAUAGCUGCUGCCGGUGGACCAUUAAACUCUUGUUAUUUUAUGUAAUCUGAGCGUCUUAUUUUAAUAAGUCA